GUUACAUGUAAAGAUUGACUUCUGCUGGCUUUGUGCUUACAGAAUUCCCACCGAGCCGCUCGCCUGCCUCUGAGUCACUCAGAAGCCAGCCUCCCUCUUUGGAUUUGAUAGCAAGACUUCCAGCUGCCAUCUCGUGAUCUUGAGGAUGGAUGCCAUGUGCUAAGGAUAGCGGAACCGAAAGAUGAAAGCAUCCCGGGAAAGAAACUUUUAUGUGGAAUGCAGUGUUUGGCACAUGGAACAUAUUCAUGGAAAACCAUAUUGAAUAAAUGGAGUAAUAAUGUUCUGUCAAACCAGAUUUCUAAAUGAUUGACCUCAGCAUGAAAGUGUGCUCACUGGGGUCUAAUUCCUGACUGGAAAAUAUAUCCAAGACAUCUCGUCUGGACAUGACCAAGAUAUUUUGUCUAGAGGUGCUAUCCAGUCCUGUUUUCUUCCAAGAGAAUCAAUAAUAUGUUCCAUGAAGACCAGAAUCUAUGGGUCUCUGGCAUUGAAUAUCACAUGGCACUUCUGACCUCAGACUCACAGCCUUUCCUUGGAAGCUGUCAUGGCUCAUAUGAAUCUUGAAUCAACUCAAAAACACAUCUCUGGAAAUUGCUGUGAGAAGGAUUCCUAGACGAAGGUGAGAUGAAAAGACCACUCUGUCUAUGGGCAGCACUGUUCUGGGGUACCGGCUGUGGAAUAGGAAUGGAGAGGACUGGUUGAGCACUUACAGCCUUCCCUACUUCCUGAUCUCCGAUGCAACGUGACCAGCUGCAUCCUUGAUGCUCCUACCAUCAAGUCUUCUCCUUCAUGACAGACUGCAUGCUUUCCAACUGGACGCGAAAUACAAAUGGUAUUUUUGUCACAAAACCCAGAACAAGGAUUUGACCAAGAAGACAUCUCACACAAUCCAACUUCAGCCAGUAAGCUGAGUGAGGCCAAUAGGAAAAUAGAUGUUUUUCAAAAAGCUUGCAUGUCAUUACUCAUCGCCUUUUUCAUCUUUUGCUGAUCUUGAAAUAUGAUGUUGAGGGAAGGAGGGGCAGUCAGCAUGAUGUAGACAUGAGAGCUGGAGCACUUGGAGAUCAAAUGUCCAUCAGCAUAUGGUAUAUGAGAUCACCACAGAGUGGCUUGCCAUUCUUCACUUGGCUGUCAUCCCAACAUCAUGUCAUGGUGUAUUCCCUCAGAUCAUGAUCUCCUUUAGAAAUCAAGAACUCGACCCCUGAGCUUCUAACUUUGUUAGAAAAUAAGUCUGUUCUGGAAUAAACCACCACU